CUGUUGUCAAGCUGCUCAUGCUCAGCCCCCCGCCUCCGACUGCCUCCUCACAUCUACUUCACAAUUACAGCCUGUCUGAUGGAGUGAUAAUCACUGCAGAAAUCAAAUCAGGCUUCAGAUCCGCUCCUGUGUUUCUGCUGUGGCUCUACAGGAUCUACCAGGCUGCUGCUGCUGCUGCUGCUACUUGGCAUGUGAUCAAACUGGGAGUAAAAGCCAAUGUUGGGAUGUUAUGGUGUAAGCCACAGCGGUUUCAAGGGCCUCAGAUAUCACUUCCUCCCACGCUGCACUGUAGACAACCACUGGAAAGACAUGCAGGGCCAAUGACAUUUGAUUGCAGGCUCCUCCACAGGCCUCUGUGACCUGUGGCUACCCAUAACACCCUUCUCUGCAUUGAUAGGUUUGUCAAAAUCAUACAAAUACUCUGGCACCACUGAGUAGGUAUGGCAAAUGAAGAAUCAGGUUUGAUGGUUCUCCCAUGACGGAGGAAUCCUUAUAAUGUGUCUUUUUAUGAUAUUGUAAACAAAGUCCUGAAUAAAUUUUUUGUGAAACGGAUCCAGUACAAGGGGAGAAAAAGCUGAGCCUGAAUCUGAUUAAAUCUCUCAGCUGCAUGUGGAUAAAAGAGCUGCUGCCACCGGAGGAUAUUUCGACAUGAAAAAGGUGACACAUGACAAACAAAACCCAUAACUCUUAUUUGUCCUACAAACUGAAAGGUGGGGGAAAAACAAACACACUCACUGUAACAACUUGAUGUGUCCCUGGUAUUUUUAUGUGCUGUAUUUCAGAGGGAAAGCCGGUGUUGCAAUAAAAUGAUCAACUCCUGUUUAGAGGAAGAAAUCUGUUAAACCAUUGCAAAAGAUGUGUGAAUAGACUCCAAUAUAACUGCUGGUGUUGAUCAUAAAAAUACUUCUUUGCUUUA